rnacentral:rRNA from 1 species
CACGUAGGCGGACUGGAAAGUCAGGGGUGAAAUCCCGGGGCUCAACCCCGGAACUGCCUUUGAAACUCCCGGUCUUGAGGUCGAGAGAGGUGAGUGGAAUUCCGAGUGUAGAGGUGAAAUUCGUAGAUAUUCGGAGGAACACCGGUGGCGAAAGCGGCUCUCUGGUCUGUAACUGACACUGAGGCUCGAAAGCGUGGGGAGCAAACA